UGGGAAUCUUGGACAAUGGGGGAAACCCUGAUCCAGCCAUGCCGCGUGAGUGAUGAAGGCCUUCGGGUUGUAAAACUCUUUCGACGGGGACGAUAAUGACGGUACCCGUAGAAGAAGCUCCGGCUAACUUCGUGCCAGCAGCCGCGGUAAUACGGAGGGGGCUAGCGUUGUUCGGAAUUACUGGGCGUAAAGCGCACGUAGGCGGCGAUUUAAGUCAGAGGUGAAAGCCCGGGGCUCAACCCCGGAACUGCCUUUGAGACUGGAUUGCUUGAACAUCGGAGAGGUGAGUGGAAUUCCGAGUGUAGAGGUGAAAUUCGUAGAUAUUCGGAAGAACACCAGUGGCGAAGGCGGCUCACUGGACGAUUGUUGACGCUGAGGUGCGAAAGCGUGGGGAGCAAAC
rnacentral:rRNA from 1 species